AGUCCAUUUUCAUCUCUGUUGAAUUUUAAUGGAUAUAUUUGGAAAAAGAAAUUACUGUUCUAUAACUAAUUCUUUUGUCAAAUGAAAGAAAAUUGAACUUCAUAUGAGAUUUUCUUGGGUAGCCAAUAUUCUAAGUAUAACAUGGCUACAAUUUCUACCAAGUAUGCAGUUAGACUGGUGUAAUGUAGUGAUGUGUUACUGUGUAAAAACUUUCACUGUUAAACUUCCACCAGACUCCAGAACUAAGUUAAUUCCAUAAACGAGUUUCCUUACGCAAAUAAUAAAAAAUUAAUGAGUGGAAACCCAGAAUCUUGAGAGAGAUAAUUUAUUGAAGCUCUGUUUCGCCCCCAAAAGACACUUAACAUUGUUCACAGGUCGCGGAGGAAGGGGAAACUUCCAGAACCAGAACCAGAACCAGGAGAUUUCCACAGGAGGGUUCCGAGGGGGCAGAGGCAGGGGAUUCAGGGGCAGAGGCCAGGGAGGUAACCGUGGCUCAGGACAAAGCCCCAUGGGAAGGGGGCGUGGCCGAUUCCAGAGGGGACGUGGCCGUGGAGGUCAGAGAGGCAGAGGUCGCGGGGGUGUACAGACGCAAGUCAGCAAGGAAGACUUAGACAAUCAGUUGGACGUCUACAUGUCCAAGACCAAGAACUACCUUGAUAAUGAACUGGACGCCUACAUGCAACAGAGUGACAUCUGAAACAUUGGUUAAACAUCCGCGGGCAACAUCAGGAAACACUGAUAACAUCCGCUGCAAAUAUCAGGAAACACCAAUAACAUCCACGGGCAACAUCAGGAAACACCAAUAAUGUCGCACCAAAACAUCACUGCGUUAAACCACAACCUCUUAACCAUCAGGCCUGAUGUUAAUGUAUACUGAUGAAAAGAUACUCAUAACUGAAUGAUUUAAUAGAUGAUUAACUGAAUGAUAAAAUAGAUGAUUCAGUGGGAAAUGUUGCCCUAAAUCACCAUGCAGCAUUUUGUUGACAGUUUUGGAUGGAAAUUUUCUUCAAAAACUGAUGUAUUGAGUGUGAGAUACAUCACCUUUGUAGCUGUGAGAGGGUUGUAGGCUGUAUGGUCUGUCAACCUAGUGGAUCAUUGAACUUUCCACAUGAAUAUAGCAGGGCAAUACAGAAUACAUAUGAAGCUGAUCUGAAAAUGUUUGUCAGAAAAUUUUUAAUUUAUUGAAUCAAUAAGUCAUUUUGGUUUCUAUGUGAAUUCAGCAGGGUUUUAGCUAUAAAGGGGAUUGUCUUACUUCUAUAAACAAACAGCAAGGCUUCUGGGAUCUUACAUUAGACUAUUGGCUGUAGGCAACAACCUUGUCUUGUGUGGGAGGUUUGUGAAGAAUAGGGCGGUUGUGUUAUAUAUGGAACUGUUAACAGGACUUUUCAUUUUUGCAGUCCCAAUACAAGUUGUUUGUAUAAGAAAUAAGGACCCAGUGGUUCUAUUUUACUGUCAGAUAAGCUUCAACAACAAGUGUGGUUUGUCCUGAUAGAUAUGAAAUUCACUAUUCAUAAGCUGUUAAAUGAUUAUAUGUUGAGCUAGAAACAAGGCUUCAAGAUUUUUAAUUUCUUUAAUCUCGUAUGAAAUAAAAACAUUUUAAAUCUCUUUUUAUGAUAUUUCACAAACCCAAUUUAUGUGAAUAUAUUGUUUAUUUCUGUUUUCUCUAACCAUUAUUUAAAGCAAAUUUAAAGUCAAACUGAUGUCAAGGCUAUUUCAUAUCAAUUGUCUUACAAUAAAAUGUUAAAGUGAUACUCAGAUGUCUAUAACAUUUGCCAUGUGAUAAAUGAUCAAGUCAAGUUAAGUUAUGAAUGUUGAUAGGUAUUGAUUUGUAGGAUCGUUAACAUUGAUUACUGAUGAUUUUUGUUUAGAUAGCAGUAGACUAGUGUUGUAUGGCUGUUGGUGAAAACAGGUUUCUGUUGAAUACUGCCUUUUAACAUUUUAGCCCCAAUGUCAUCAGGAAAUGAGUUGUUAAGCUAGGGUAUAUGGUGUUCUCUACAGUAGAGAUUUUAUCCUAUACAAUAACAUCGUUUAGGUAAAAAAGGAAGAAAAAGAACCCUACAGUUUCAGAGGUUUGUGAUUUAUAUUUGUCAUAUUUGACAUAUUUUAGAUUAAUUUGAAGUCUUUCCCCAUCAAUUAAAUUUCACCUCAUACUUGAACACAAAUUUCACACAUCAAUUUCAUUUACUGCUGUCUGAAAAUAAAUGGCUGUGUAUUUGUGAGAGAAAAAAAGAAUAUCACCAAAACAACAGAUUUGAAAUGUUAUCUGAAAUAUUUUAUUUAUUAUGAUUUACCCAGUGCAAUAAUUAUAUAAGUAUAUAAGUAUAUAAGUACAAAUACAAUGGACUGUGUUAAUAUUUCUCUUGGUUUAUUUGUGAUGUGUUGGGAAAGGUUUUUUCUCUUAUUUAAUUAAUAUGAAUGAUAAAAGCUGGCGUCAUGUUUCUGAUAAAAAAGGAAUUAUGAAAUGAAAUCAAUUUGGGAGACAAUACGAGUCUUUGUGAAUUUCACAUACACAAAAGUGGUCACAUAAUUUGCAGGUGAGGGGAGCACACAGUUUUAAAUGAGAGAGCUUAUGCCUAGCACUGAAAACAACUGAAGUAAAGGCUCGGCAUAGGUAAUUAUGUUUUAAAAUCUGUACUACUUACCAAAUGGAUCUUAUGUUAUGAUCUGGAGCAGGGUUAGAUAUUAAGCCAGAUAUUUUCUCUGGGAGAAAACCUUGUUAGUGAUACAUGGACAAUGCUCGGCCUGUUUGAUAUUCCACAAACCUUCAAACAAAUCUUAAUGGAUACAAAUGUAAUUUUUACAGCUACCAAAUCUUGUUUAUAGAACUGUUAAAUCCAAUCUUUAUUGUUAAAUUUCACUGAACUUGUCUACAUUUUAAAUUUAAACAAAGUGUGAGCUGUCGUUGACAUGCAAAUGUGGAAGCAGGUCUUGGCCGAUGUCCGAUCUUUCUUCCUCUCCCUUCGUGUUAACAUAUGAUCCUAUAUUAUCUUUGUUUAAUCUUGUUGUUUUAUGUAUGACUAUAACUUUAGAUGUAUUUCAUGUACUGCUUUAAUUUUGCCUUAUACACAUAUCUAGGUGGUUUGUAAUGUAGAUGUGAAGUAGAAGGUCGCAUAUCUGAACCACUUUAGGGACACGUCAAUUUUGUUGUUAUGCAGAUAUCCACAAAUGUAAGCAUAUAUAUUUUAGCAUAUUUUAAUUUAAAUCCAAAUUAAAACGGAUCAGCAGUAUCAUCAGUCAGCACACCAAUAAUGAUUGCCAUAGAAAAAAAUGAAGAGAAACUACAAUUAGCACUAUCAUAAUAUUUUGGUAUUCUUCCAGUGCAAAAACCACUAAAAUUAUGUUACCACAAAAAAAAUAUACAAUUACUGUAUGUGUUGUAUAACAACAUGUUACAAAGCAAGGACAUGGCUGUAGGUCAGAUAAUUGAAAGGUCAAACAAAUUGUGUUCAGAUAGGCGACUAUCUACUGUUUUGUUUUCCCUUUAAAACUGUGUUGUUAGAGUAGGAGAGUGUGAGAAGGGGAAUUAUAGAAUUUGAUGUUAGAAGAUUUGUUGUAUGAUUACCUCCGUGAGACGGAACAAACAUUUGUAUGGAAAGAGAGCGUUCUGUUUUGUAGUCAGUACAAAGUAUGUGUGUAUUAUCAUAUGUUAAUAGUUUUCAUCACGGAAAGAAAGAUGCUGAGAAUUUGUAGAACUGAAUAAAUACACGUCAUCAUUUGUUA